GGGGGGGGGGGGGGGGGGGGGGGGGGGGGGCGGGUGGAGGGCUGGGGGGGGAGCUGGCUCGUCUGGAUGAGUUGCGGACGGGUGAGUGACGCGUCGGUAACCUGCCUGGUGGCGGGGGGUGUCUCUUGGAAACGAUAGCUAAUACCGCAUGACAACAGGUAGUGCCUGGUAACUGUUUAAAAGGUGCAAGUGGUCCGAUACCAGAUGGACCUGCGUUGUCUUAGCUCGGUGGGGAGGUAACGGCUCCCCAAGGCAAAGAUACAUAGUCGAACUGAGAAGGUGAUCGGCCACACUGGGACUGAGACACGGCCCAGACUCCGUCGGGAGGCAGCAGUAGGGAAUCUUCGGCAAUGGACGGAAGUCUGACCGAGCAACGCCGCGUGAGUGAAGAAGGUUUUCGGAUCGUAAAGCUCUGUUGUAAGAGAAGAACGAGUGUGAGAGUGGAAAGUUCACACUGUGACGGUAUCUUACCAGAAAGGGACGGCUAACUACGUG
rnacentral:rRNA from 1 species